AUUCCAUGAUGACGCACGCGGGGCCAUCAGAUGUCUUUUUUCGCCUCUGGGUCCAACUCCCAUGGGUGAAAAGGCAAACGCUGACAAACACCGCGUUCCAACAAUCUUCUCAAACACUCUGAAAU
rnacentral:snoRNA from 1 species